UGGGGAAUAUUGCACAAUGGGCGCAAGCCUGAUGCAGCCAUGCCGCGUGUGUGAAGAAGGCCUUCGGGUUGUAAAGCACUUUCAGCGGGGAGGAAGGCGUUAAGGUUAAUAACCUUGGCGAUUGACGUUACCCGCAGAAGAAGCACCGGCUAACUCCGUGCCAGCAGCCGCGGUAAUACGGAGGGUGCAAGCGUUAAUCGGAAUUACUGGGCGUAAAGCGCACGCAGGCGGUCUGUCAAGUCGGAUGUGAAAUCCCCGGGCUCAACCUGGGAACUGCAUUCGAAACUGGCAGGCUAGAGUCUUGUAGAGGGGGGUAGAAUUCCAGGUGUAGCGGUGAAAUGCGUAGAGAUCUGGAGGAAUACCGGUGGCGAAGGCGGCCCCCUGGACAAAGACUGACGCUCAGGUGCGAAAGAGUGGGGAGCAAACAGG
rnacentral:rRNA from 1 species